rnacentral:rRNA from 1 species
CCCUUAGAUGUUCUGGGCCGCACGCGCGCUACACUGAUGCAUUCAACGAGCCUAGCCUUGACCGAGAGGUCCGGGUAAUCUUUGAAACUGCAUCGUGAUGGGGCUAGAUUAUUGCAAUUAUUAAUCUUCAACGAGGAAUGCCUAGUAAGCGUGAUUCAUCAAAUCGCGUUGAUUACGUCCCUGCCCUUUGUAUACACCGCCCGUCGCUCCUACCGAUUGAGUGUGUUGGUGAGGAGUUCGGAUUGGCAGCAGGUGGUGGUUCGCCACCGCCUAUUGCUGAGAAGUUCUCCAAACCGCCCCACUUAGAGGAAGGAGAAGUCGUAACA